rnacentral:lncRNA from 1 species
GCCUGUAAUCCCAGCACUUUGGGAGGCUGAGGCAGGAUGGUCUCGAUCUCCUAACCUCGUGAUCCACCCGCCUCGGCCUCCCAAAGUGUUGAAAUUACAGGCGUGAGCCACCGCGCCCGGCAGGGAUUCUUAAAAAGAGCAAACGUCCCUCUUAUAUCCCUCUUUGGAACCGUGGGGAUGCAUGCUAAGUGCUAACUCUGCCAAGACAGAGAUGUGUACAGCCUGUGAAUCUUGAACGAUUACCUAAAUAAAAUGUUGAUGUGGAUUUGAAAAACACAAUGUUUCAGGUCAAAGGAUCAGAUCCGAGAGGAAGCAAUUAUAACAAAGAAAAAGAUCCCACUUCUUGUGUGUAAGUGUGCUUAGAAGCUAAGAAGAAAACACAUUCUGGAUGAAAAUGUUUUCUGAGAUAUUCUCUCAAGUAAAGAUUGGUCCUUGCUUGAAGUAAAAAUUGAAAUGGAAAGAAAAACAUAUUCAGGGAGACAAAAAGCUUACAACAGAGUUUUGGAAAAAGGUCUUUUUAGACUAAUGCAGUUUUGGAAUUGUUUUUUGGAAAUUGUCUUUUAACUCUUUGAUCUGAACUUGUGCUUAAAAUUUUGCAGAAUAAAGAAUCUUUUUGGUGUCGGCUG